rnacentral:rRNA from 1 species
AUUGAACGCUGGCGGCAGGCCUAACACAUGCAAGUCGAGCGGAUGAAGGGAGCUUGCUCCUGGAUUCAGCGGCGGACGGGUGAGUAAUGCCUAGGAAUCUGCCUGGUAGUGGGGGAUAACGUCCGGAAACGGGCGCUAAUACCGCAUACGUCCUGAGGGAGAAAGUGGGGGAUCUUCGGACCUCACGCUAUCAGAUGAGCCUAGGUCGGAUUAGCUAGUUGGUGGGGUAAAGGCCUACCAAGGCGACGAUCCGUAACUGGUCUGAGAGGAUGAUCAGUCACACUGGAACUGAGACACGGUCCGGACCCCUACGGGAGGCAGCAGGGGGGAAUUUUGGACAAUGGGCGAAAGCCUGAACCAGCCAUGCCGGGGGUGUGAAGAAGGUCUUCGGAUUGUAAAGCACUUUAAGGUGGGAGGAAGGGCAGGAAGUUAAUACCUUGCUGUUUGGACGUUCCCAACAGAAGAAGCCCCGGCUAACUUCGU